AUUUAAUCACUUUGGUAUAUUCUUAUCUAUUUAUCGUGUUUACUGUUUAUCUACCAGAAACCAACAACCCGGUCCCAGUGACUGGUUAUAACAACUCGGAAUUAAGAAGACUUCAAUAUAAACACCAAACAUUCAUCUUCGAUUUGCGUUGAUCUAUCUCGGUUUUGUCUAAACAAACUACGCGGUUUUCUAAUUUCGCCUAAGUAUAAAUAAAUGAUAGACUGUACGUAUGAACUAUUAACUGUCCCGCUGAAUAUGUUUAAGUGCAUAUUUAUUUAUGUGUUCAACAUAUAAAAAAAUAAUCCAUAUGCAGACUACAAACUAAAUAUUUUAAAUGUAAGUAAUCAUAUUAAACAUAAUUAAAAACCAAUAAGUCGUGUAACAUAUCAUAAUUUUUGUUUAGUGCAACAAUGUUUCCGAACCCGUGGGUUACUCCAGUUCCACCUCCUGUGGUGACCAAAUCGGUUGUUUACAAAAACAAUACUCCAACUACCUAUCCAUAUUAUGUUACGCCAAAUGCCUUACAAAAUAUUGUUGUAAGUUUAUAUAGCAUUAAAUUAAGAAAUAAAUACUAUCAUCCGUAUAUUUGUUUAUGCAAUAUAUUUCUGUUAUCAUAUAUUGAAAAUAAAAGCAUUGUAUAUUAGAUUAUUACUAAUAUUUAUAAUUUGAAUUAAUUACAUGAUGUAGUUAAUUUAAAUAUGUUUAAUACACAUUUAAAUCAAUAAUUAAAUUACUAUCCAAGAAAGUUGUUUACUUGAGUAGAUAUGGAGAUGUUUUAAUAGGACCAUACAGCAUAUUUUAUAGACAAAUAUUUUAUUACUUCCCUAUAUUUUUCAGAUGAACCCACAAAAUAGUUUAUCAUUGAAUGCAACAUCAGUCGUAAGUAAUUUCUGUAAGAUAAACAUUAGUAUAAGUUACAUUUUUAGACAAAUGAAAAAUCUUUAUACAAAAUUGUUUUUUCUGAAAGAAAAAGACACUUUGUAUACAAUUAUUGUUAACUCUAAUAGUCUAAUAGUCUAGUACAAAAAAAUGUGAAAAACUGCUUACAUAAUUAAAUCCAUGUUAAACGUUUUAAUUUGGAUAUUUUUGAAUUUUAAAGUAUUCAUGACUUAUUCAAAUUCAUUAAAAAAAUUAAUUUAACUAAAUAAUUAUUCAUCUAUAUUCUGUUUAGUUAGUAAGAAAAAACAAUUUAAGUUAUGGAAGCAGAAUAGGAACAGAGAUGAUUAGGUAGAGUACAAAAGACUACAAGAAAGUUAAGAAGGUGGCAAGCAAACCGAAGUUAAAAAAUACUAGGAACAAAGAAAGGUGAAAAAAAAGUUUAUCGAUUAAUCGAGAUUAGAAAAAAACUGUCCAAGGAUUUCCAUAAUGUAUGAGAAAGACAAAAAAAAAAAUAAAUAGAUGUGAUUGAGAAUGAUGUAUGGGGGAUCUUGUCUAAUGGAAGUUUAAGAUAGCGGUGGCUGACCCUAAUUAGUUAGGGUGAAGGUGAAGCAGAAAAAAAAAAUUAUUCAGAAUAAGAUUUAACUGCUUUUGUAAAUGUAAACUCAGCUGUUGAACAAGUCUAGACUCUCUAAUUGCAUUCUGUUGUCUUUGCUGUUGACUUUGUACUUACAAGGAGCAAGGAUGGAAGGGGAUUAGUUUGGAAGUAAAGUUUUUUUUUAUCUAAGCCGUUCAGUAUUAACCUGAAUAGAGUAAAUUAAUAUUGAAUUAUCUUUUAACUUGAAUAAUUAAGACUUAAACUUGUUUGUUAGAAUUAUUAUCUAUUUUUAAUACCUAAUUGAAGUUAAUUUUCAAUAAAAAAAAAAAUGUAAUUCAAAUAUAAAUAUUUGUACAAUAUUUUUAAUCCUCUUCCUUAUGAAUAAUAUAAAAAAAAAAAAAAACAUAAUUUGAUUAUCCUCGGAGAUAUUCAAAGGGAGUGUAUCUUAGGACAACCUGUACACAGAUAAAUUGUUAUAUAUUUUUAUGGCAGUUUUUUUAUGCUUAUAUUUUAAAUAAUCUAAACACGCUAAAAUGAAAAAUCCACAUUAAAAGUGUAGUAUUUAAUGUGUAACAUUUCAAAAAUAUUAUUGUUUAGUUAAAAGUUCAAUACUUACCAAUAUAUUUAAUUAAUAAUUUCCUUAUUUAUUAUAAAGUAACUAUCUAUUUUAGAUGAACCAGUCACUUCAACCAAAUGCUAUCGAUCCAGCUGUAAGUUUAACAGAAUAUAAUAUUUUAUAAUAAUAGGUAUAGUGUAUCAAUUUUAAAAAAUGUAUUUAUUUAUUUUAGUUGGUUCAAAAAUGGCAAGAAUGGAAGCAAUGGGAAGCAUGGCAACAACAAUUUCAACAAUGGCAACAACAGGUUUAUUUAAAUUAUAUGUCUAAAAAAUAUGAAAUAUUGAAUUGUUUUCAACAUUGAUCACUUGUACUACUAAUAAUUCAUAAGCAUCGUUUAAAAAAAUAUGAAUUAAAAUUAACUUUUAAUUUAAUUAUUAGAUAAAUAAAUUAGUUAUUUCAAAAAAAUUAUCAUUAUCUAGAAACGGGCAUGCUCAAGAAGUGAUCUUUCCCAGACUUGUUAAAUUAAAGUAAAUUAUUUUUCUGAAAAUUUUCUAGAAUAUUUUUAUAAGCAUUUGAAGUUAAGUUGAGUUGUGUGAAAAGGGAACGUAUAAUUUUCUGAUUACAUUACAAAUUGUUUCAAUUAAUACAUUUUAAUUGUAUUUAUACAUUUUAUUAGACUGGGCAAAUUACUGCUACACCUAUACAACCGGCACCUCCAAUGCCUCCUAGUCAACCAAUGCAACCAAUACAAACUCCUAUAAUGCCAUAUCAAAACCAGCAAUAUCAACCAAUCAACCAAUACAAUCAAUCCAGACCACCUUUGCCACUAACUAAUGAUCUGUCACAAGUAAUAAUAUUUAAAAAAAAAAAAAAAUUAUUAUAAUUAGCAGUUAAAUUAAGCAAGUUAAGAAUUUAAUAAAUAUAUAAAACAACUUAAAUAAGAAAAUUCAAUAGUCAAACUUAAAAUAGUUGAAAACAGAUAAUACAUUAUAAUAUUUCCUUGAUCUAAUGAUGACCAUAGCCUAUAGUAAAUUUAAGUACAGUUUAGGACUAUAGCAUACAUGAAUUUCAAUUUUUCACAAUGUAAGUAGGUACCAAUUUUAGAUUCUAAGCAGAGCAAAGAAGCUUAUGUUUUUUUUCAAAAAUAUAUAUAUUUUUUUUCUGUGGACAACUUUUCUACCAGUAAUUUUGUUCCAACUUUUAUUAAGGUAGCAAUUUUUCUAAGAGGAAAUUUCACUAGGGAUAUACUUUCAAAGGUUGUUUUUUCGAUUUUCCCUGGAGUUUUCUCAGCAAAUGUGAAAAGCUAUGAAAACCAGAGAAAUCAGUACAACAUUGAAAAAAUAUUAUUAAAGAAAAUAUAUAGAGCCUAUUCUAUUAUUUUAUUAUAAUAUAGCAUGUAUAUUGUUGACAAAGCAUCACUAUCAACUGAACUCCGCUUAUAAUCGCUUUUUCGUAAGCAAUGGUUUAACAUUGUUUAUAGGUAUACAUUAUAUUACUUAUAACCGUGGCUGCACCCUUCCUCAUUAUCCUUGGAUGUCUUUUUCAUAUUUAAUUGUAUACGUUAUAGCUAAAACGAAAAAAAAAUGUAGGCAUUAUAAUAUUGAAUAUUUGAAGUAUGGUUUCAUUCAAUAUCAAUCGCCUACAAAUAUUACAUUAGUUAUGUGCCUUAUUUGCCAAAAGUUUUUAUAAAUGCAGCUAUGAAACCGUUAAGACUGCAAAGUUCAUGCUAUUAAAAAAAAUAUGGAUAUUUGGUUUUCUCCUAGCAAAAAACCAGAUACAUUCAUCUCAUUAGGACACCCUUUUUUUUUACUUGUACAAUAUACAUUAUACAAUAUUAUAAUAAAACAUACUUAUAUUUUAUCAACAAUAAAUACAUUUUUUUCAUUUAUGUCGCUGAAAUCCUAUGCCAGACACCCUUUGAUGUUGAAUUUCAGAAAUCUGGCUUAGAGGUGCACAGGGACCCAUUUAUUUGGUUCUAUAUGUACAUUUUUAGACCUCUAGAUUCAAUUGUUUCAGCUGUAGAUUAUGCACAAAUAAAUAGACAGCCACUUCAUUUUAUUAAUAUAUAAGUUGAUUUUUUUUGUCAUAAACCAGCAAUUAUCUCUGAGUAUUUUAAGUAAAUCAACUUUCUGUUUUCUGUUUUUUCCUAAUCACUAUAGAAUCGUUCAAGUUUUGUUUUAAAACUGUUUUUUAUUUUUACCCCUACUCCAUAUACCUUAAAUACGUACACACUUUUUGAUUUUCAAAUAGGAACCCUCCCUCUUGAACACAGAUUUGAAUAGAGAAUAUUUUUCUAGAAAUAUUGAUAUACAUAACACUAAUAUCAGAUUUAUUGUUAUAACUCAUAAAGGUAAAUCUGAUAUAAGAAUUAUGUACAUCAACAUUUCUAGAAAAAUAUUCUCUAUUCAAAUCUGUGUUUAAAAGAGAGGUUUUUAUUUGAAAAUCAAAAGUCUGCACUUAUUAGUAGGGUAUGAGUAGGGGUAAAGUCAUUCCAUAAUGAUUAGAAAAAACAAAAAUCAAGUUUACUUAAAAAAUCUUCCAUGGUUCAUGAUAAAAAAAUCACUAUAGAAUAUACAUAUAUUUCAAAGCAAUAGUACAUAAUUAAUAAAUUAUUACACAAGUACUUAUAAUAUUAUUGUUCACAAAAUAAAUAAUAUACAUUUUUAUCAUUAGACUACCAUAAAAAAUGAAGUUGGUAUGAAACGAGGAUUAGAACCUGAAUUCGAGAAUAAUGAAAAAAAAUUGAAAACCGAUACAGCUACUAAAAAAAAUGAAAUUGAAUUAACUGAUGAAACUGAAGCUUUAUUCGAAGAACAGUUUAUAUCAUGGGAAGAACAAUUUGUUAAAUGGAAAGAACAAAAUAAAAAUCAUCCAGAUAAAGUAUAUUUUUCCAAUUUUAUAAUUUGUAUAAAUUUGUUUAUCAAUACACAUACUAAUUAAUAAUAAUAAUAUAAUCUGUUUUAUAUUAGGUUCAGUAUUUAGAGUAUGAGAAAAAAUGGUUAACCUGGCGUGAUCAUUUAAAACAAAAAUGUGAAAUGUUAAAAAAAAAGAGAGAGCUCAAAAUGGCUGAAAAAAAGGUGAAUUUUAAAUCAAUAAUCUAUUUUGAUUAUUCUCUGUUAAAACGUAAUUCCAAUUGACUAUAUGGUUAACAUUACAUUAAAUUAUUAAUUUCUUUUGAUUUUAUUAUUUAGAAGGAAACUAUUCAAAUUGAAGAAAAUAAACUACAAUCUCAGCAAAUAUUAGGUUAUAAUCCAUUGAUGCAAAAAACUCCUUCAUCAAUAAAUGAACUUACUCCAAUCACUUUUCAGCAUUUGGUAAUUAUUAAAAAAAAAUUACCAUAGUUUCUAAGUAUUUAUUAGUUUUAUGAUGGUGGUUUUUUUUCUGUUAACAAGUUUUUUACUAGAAAUCUUUCUUUAAUUGAAAAAUAACAAGAAAGCCUUUUUGUCUAGUUGGUACAUUAGAGAUGCCAUCUUUAGAUUCUGAGCAAAACACAAAAUGUAUUGGUUUUACAAUGGUGUUUUUUUUUCUUGUGAACAAUUUUUCUACUAAUUUUUUGCAUGGAUCUUCAUAUGUAAUACAUUUUCUUAAAACAAAUUUGGCUGAAGUGAUAUGUCAGAGCAGUCAUUUUUUGAUUUUCCCAGGGGUUUUCAUAAUAAAUGGAAAAAAUCAUGAAACAACAUAGAAAAAACAGAAAUAUUUACGAAAUGUUUUAUUAUAAAAUAGUAAAAAUUGCAGCUUUUCAAAAUAUGUAUAAUCAAAGUCAGGUCAGAAUUUUUUUUUUUGCUUAUACAUAUACAUUAAAUUCCUCUUUAUAUUCUACAUUCCCAACUUUUUACCUACAAUAGUAACCCAUCCAAUCCAUUGUGCGAAAUAUGUUCAUAUAUUUUUUUUCCUUUGGUUUUCUUAAUAAUUGGAUAUAUUUGAAAACAUCUACACAAUAGUGAAUAACAGAAACAUUUAUUUUUGAUUUUGUUGCCAUUCAGUUAAAAAUAAUUGUAAAUCUACUUAUUUGUAGCCAUUUGAAAUUUAUGUGGUUUUAUAUAAUUACAAAAUAUUAAAGCUUUUUAAAAAUAUUUAAAAGUUUGAAGCACAUUUUUCUUAUAGAACUUUAAAAAAUCAAAAAACUAGUCACAAAUUUGGUAAGGCAUAAAAUUAAAAUUUAUAUGAACAUAAUGAAAAUCAUUUUUAAACAUGUUUAACUAAACUUUAUUGAGAAUCGGUUUGUGUUAACAAUGAUUCAUCGUUCUGCACAUAUAUAAAUCAUAUAUAAAUUAAAUUACUCUGGCUGUUCGAUGAAGAUGUACCCCUUGAAUAUCUCCAGAGAUAAUAAAGAUAAUCAAAUUCUAUUUUUUUUUUUUUUUUUUUUUUUUUUUUAUAUAUAUACUCACAGAAAUGAGGAAUAAUUAUUUUAUAUUUGCAUUAAAUUUGUUUUGGUAAAAAACUUUAAAAAAAAAUAACUAUUUUAGGAAAAUGUUAAGUCAUUUGAUAGUCAUUCUGUAGUUUAUUUUUCUAAAAAAUUUUAAUGCAUUUAUAUUGCAUGAAUAGUUUUUAAGUAACAGCCAUUUUAAAUUCUACUAAUCCGUGUGAAAACCAAUGUUGUCUCUAGAGAAUGGACUUUAAUGCUCUAAAAAAUAAAAAAAAAGUUUUUAAAUUUAAUAAAUAAACCAAUAUUGAGCAGUUUUGUGUAUGCAUAAUAUUAUUAUAUAUAUAUAUUGGUUUGGUUAUUCCUUAGAUAACAUUGAUUUUCACACGGAUUAUUAGAAUUUAAAAUGGCUGUUACCUUAAAAACUAUUCAUCUAAUAUAAAUGUGUGAUACAUUAAUAAAAAUAUUCAGAAAAAUAAACUCUAAAUAAAAAAUUAUUUUAUAAAAAAAAUUCCAAAAACAAUAUUUCUAAUCCUCCCUGUGAGUAAUAUAUAUAUAAAAAAAAAAACAAAAUUUGAUUAUCUUAAUUAUAUCCAGAGAUAUUUAAGGGGUAUAUCUUCAUAGAGAAGAGCCAGUAUAUAUAUAAUACUAUAAUACUAUCCUACAAUAGAGGCAAUUCUAUCAUUAGUAUCGGCUCUUUACUUUAAACUUAAGUUAAGUAAAUUUUACACUUACUACAAAAUUAAUAUUUUAAAUUACAUAUCCAGCUCUUAUUGAAACUUAAAAUAUUUGAUAAGUUAAAUAAUUGAUGCAUAUACAAAUAAAGUAGGAUAAAAACUUUUGAAUCUAAUUUAUUUUUAACAGUAUUCAUUAAUUCAAUAUCUAAUACUCACGAUGGAUGGAUCACUGUUGUAAGUGAGAAGUUGGAAAGAUAAAGGAGAAAUUUAAUAUAUAUCUGUACGCUACAAUUAACCAUUGCCAACCAAAAAAAGAUUCUGAUCUAACCUAACGAUUCUGAGCAAUAUUUAGUUGAUAGUGUUGCUUUGUCAACAAUAUGUAUAUCAUAUUAUGGUAAAAUAAUUACAUAUGCAUUAUAUAUUUUCUUUAAUAAUAUUUGUUUAAUGUUGUACCUCUUUUUUCCGGUUUUGCCAUUUAUUAUGAAAACAGCUAGGAAAAUUAAAAAAUUAUCUGUCCAUUACCAUUUCAGUCAGAUUUCCUUCCUGAAAAAAAUGCUAUAAUUAAAAAUCCGAGUAAAAUUUCUGGUAUAAAAGUUGUUCACAGAUAAAAAAAAAAAACAUUGUAAAACCAAUACAUUCCUCAGAAUUUAAAAUGUAGUUUAGUGCUUUUUCAUCAAUCGCUUUCAAUUUGAAGGCUAGAUAAAUUAAGAGACGUGCUUAUACAUUUUGUAAAUAUCGCCCUGUUAGUCUAAAUUUUUUUUUACAAAUCUAACAUUUCAUUAAUAUGUCAAUAUUUUAUAUAAUAUUUAUUCAAAUAUGUAAUUUGAUUUUUAGCUCUAAUUAUUAGAUCAGUGAUUCUCAACCAAUAUUUCGCGACACACUAGUGUUGCACAAACUGGCUAUAAGUAUGUCGCGUACAUGCAUAUAGUAUUAUGUACCUUAUUAUUAUAAUGUUUAAUCAAAAUGUAUUGUUAUAAAAAAAAUGUGCUAUAAACAUAAAAACGUUGAGAACCAUUGCAUUAGAUAUUUGCAAACAAAAUCAUAUGUCCUAUUAUGAUUGACAGUCACGUCAAUUAUGAUUAAAAUUGUAUGUAAAUGAAUUUGCAUACACGUUAUUUUGUUUUGUUUUGUAGCAAAAUAAUAAUUCUUCCAUGGUAUCCUCACUUUCUAAAAAUCAUAUACCUGGUUUGGACCUAAUUACUAAUACUGAAUGCAAUACCAAAGGAUUUCUGAAUGUCUCAAAGAUUAUACCACAAAAUCAAACCGAACCGAUUCAAACACCUGACGACAAGCCAUUUAAUUUUCCCAAAAGCAAUACAACCUCUGCAAUUAUAAACCAACAACCAGUUAGUAUGCCUCUUAACAAUAUCCACCAAUCAACUACAUCCAUGUUUCAGAAUUCUUAUAGUUGGUCAAAGUUUAACAAUCCUGUAUCCUAUUAUGAUAAAAAUCCAGUGGAUGUGAAUGAUGCACCAUCAUCUAGAUUUGGUCAACAAAAUGAUAUUAAUGCUCGACCACCAUAUGAUGAAGAAAUAUCUAAUACUUCUUACAAUAGUUCUCAAAAUGCUACUAAUAAUAUGAACUAUAGAAGACCACUAGAAGGAUCAUAUAUUAAUAAACUGAUAAACGAAAGUAGUAGUACAAUGUACAAUAAGGGUCCAGAUGACCAACUUUAUAAUAGAAAUUUUAAUACACAAACUAGUAAUUUUCGAGGUUAUCAACCAAAUAUUUCCAAUAAUAAUAAUUUCAACAGAUCACCGGAAAACAUUCCAUAUCAACAUCAAAAACCAUUGAAUCUAACACAUUCGAAACCGCCUUCUUUGUUGAGUUUAAAUGUGGUUAAACCAAUUACACUAGGUAAGAAUUUAAAAUUACACUGUUUACAAAAUAUUUAUUUUUUAUAUUUCUGAACAUCAGAAUUUAUAAUAAAUUAUUAUUUAUUCUCAUAUAUUUUACCGACUGGUAUUAUUUUUGGUAUAUUAUUAUGAUUUUAUUUACCUGUUAGCAGAAAUUUUGACAAUUUAGAAAAUAAUAUCACUUUUGUAGUUUCUUGGGCAAUUACCCAAUAUAAUACUAAAGAACAUGGAGUUUACUUUGUGCAAAUAAUAUAGUAUUAUACUAAUUUACUAUUCUGUAUUAAUACAAAUACACGCCUUGUCCUAAUAUUAUCAAUCAUUAUUUUGUUACCGUAUUAUGUAUUGUCAAUUUUGCCAGUAACAUACCUACAACAUGACAUUUUAAAUUCCAUUAAUUUCAUAUUUUAGGUUCUGAUGGGAGCGAGGAAUAUAUAGGUUUUAUAGUGAUGUUUAUUUUAUUUUUGUAUUUUUUUCUGUGAAUAACUUAUCUACCAACAAUUUUAAGGGAGAUCAUUUUUUGAUUUUCCUAGGAGUUUUCAUAAUAAAUAGGAAAUACGGGAAAAUAUACAAAAUGUAUUAUUUUUAAAUUGUAAACUUUACAGCCUUUUAAAACAUCUAUAACCAAACUUCGCUCAGAAUUGUUUUUCGUAAACAAAUAUUAAUUAUUGCGUACAGAUAUAAAUUAAAUUCCCCUCAAUAUCCUACCUUCCCAACUUCUCACCUACAACAGUGACCCUCUCAUUGUAUGAAGAAUAUCCGUCAUUUUAAAUAUAAUUAUAUACAUUUACUUUUUAUUGUUUUAGAUAAACCUGGAAAUUACUUGGAAAAUAAGAACGAUUUACCAAAUAGGUAAUAAUUUUUAAUAGAUGUUUAAUAUGAGUUGGCGAUUAUUUGUAUUUUUCUAAAUUAUUAGGUAUGAAAGAAAUUGGAAUAUUGCUGAUGAUGAAGAAGAUCCGGAAAAUGAAUACAUGGAAGCACAUAAAAAAUUUAGUUCUGAACCAUUUGAUGAUCAAUAUGAUGAUCAAUUUUCAAACCAACAGCAUAGAAAUUCAUAUUAUGAUAAUGAUAAUUAUUCUAGAGGACAUCAGGGGCCUAGAGACUACAAUGAUGACUAUCCUAGAUCUUUGAAUCAAUCAAGUGGACCUCAAAUACCGAAGAAUAUGGACAUUGAAUACCCUAGACCGAAUUCUCAAUUCUCUAGAAAUGUUAACCAAAGUUACCCUCACGAUUUGCAAACACCAAAAAAGAAAGACAGUGAUUAUUAUAAAUCUACAAAUAAUAUUAAAAGUAUAGAUCAAGGAUUUUCCAGGGAAGUGCCUAAUUUAAGAGAUGUCAAUGGUGAGUAUUCUAAUGAAUCCACUGUUGAUAAAAACAAAUUUAUUUCACCAAAAGGGAACUAUGGACUUCCUCCAAGAAGAAAUUAUGAACCGUCUAGAAGUAAUUUUGGUAAUAAUUUAAAUAAGACAAAUAUAGAAUGGGAUAAUAAAGACUAUACACAAAAUGAGGCACCUCAACAGUCUGUAAAAGAUAUCAUAAUUCCACCUCUUGUUCAACAGCCAGCAAUUGAUUGCACACCAAUUGAUCCAGUAAAAAUAUUUGAUUAUCGUCAUUUACCCACAUUAAAAGUAAUUCCAGGUAAUAUUACAUUUGAAUUUUAUGAAAAAAUAAUUACUGUAAACUCUAAUUAUUUAAUAAUAACUUAGUAUUUAUAUUUAGGAAUAUCAAAAGAAACUGUGAUCCCAAUUAGAGUUUAUGAUUAUAAACAUGGAGGUAAACGUAUACUACCAUGGCAAGAUAGAGGUUUGUAUUAGAUUUUUAAUUCGCAGUAGGGCUGUUUAAAAUUAUUGUAAUAUGAGUAACAAUAUCCCUUGUGAUAAAAAAAAUUAUAAUUGUUUAAACUGACUAAGGAUCUAUAUUUUACUCAGGACCACAAUUUUGCUCAGUUUAACCUAGAUCAGGGAUCCACAACUAGAUGGGAGAAAUCUGAUGUGCACUUUGACAUCAUAGGCCAAAAUUGCUUAGGAAAACGUAGAUAGAUAAUUAGAUUUGGUUUUUCACUAUUAUUAGUUUUUGAGAACAAUACCUAAAUUAAACACCCUUCUAUUAUAUACUUUUUUCGUAAAAUUCAAUUUAAAACUAAUUUACUUUUAAAUUGUCAGUUAGUUUGGCCAUAAGAUGGAGACCCUUAAUCUAGGCAUGUCACUUCUGUAUUAUUAUUAUUAUUAUUAUUUGUUUUUAUAACAAUACUAUAGUGAACAAAAGUCAUUACAUUUAUUGUAAAUUAAAAAGAUUGGUGACAAUAUUCCAAAUUUGUUCAUAUUUUAUAACCACCUUAUGAUAUUACCACAAUUAUAACGAAUCGUUCGAUUUUCGAAAUGAAAAUUAUUUACUACUACUUCUGUGCAGUCACCAAUAUGAUUUUCUGUAGUAAAACAGAGCAACCUUGUUACAAAGAAGAAAAAUUCUCUGUCAUAAAUUCAUAAGUAAAAGGCAAAUUAUUUCAAAUACAUUUUUUAUAAAUUCUAUCAAUAUUUUAGAUUCUAGACUGGGUUUUAGGUUUAAAUUGAUUAAAAUAUACAGUUACUAAUUCCCUUAAAUUAAAAUGACAAAUGGUUUUAUUCAAAAUAAUAAAUUUGCUUUCGGUUAAUUAUAUGUACAGAUUGUUUCACAAAGAUUGUAAAAACUUUUAUUCUGUUCAAUAGUUUAACGAUUUUUCUUUUUUGUAUUAACUGACUAGAAUAUUUUUUUUUUUUUAAAAAAACACUUAAGAUAAAUUUAAACAUUUAUACUAAAAAAAUUGUUGAUUUAAGAAAUGUUUAUUGAUAAUGAGUUACAUUUUUUCCAUUUCAACUACCAAAUAAUUUCAUAUUUAAUGUUAAUGUAUAACUAUAAUAAAAUCCAAUUAUGAACCAAUGCAAUAACAAUAAUAGGUAAAGGUAAUAAAGAUGUAAUGUAGAAAAAUUAUUUUGGGUAAUUAGAUCUGGGCUAUUAUAAAGAAUGUAAUACCUCUUUAUUGAAUAUUUUUAAGUUUUUUUUUUUUUAAUGUUUAGAAAAACCUAACCUUUGAAAACUUCAACAAUUUUUAAAAAACUAAACGACUCAUCAUUAGUUAACAUUUGUAACAGUUAGACUUCUAACUCACUAGGCAGUCUGGCUGCAUCAGCCAUCCAUGGCCACUGAUAAGCAAUGGUUGAGUAUGCAAUAUGUGACUUGUAAUAAUUAGCCAGUUAGCUGCUGUGCAUUCGUGUACGUUCUGUUUGCUGCUACACCCACAAAUUAAUGGCUAUCUAGUGUGCAAGCUACAAUUAACCGCCAAAUGUCACAUUAGCUGUGUCAGCCAAGUUGCCUAGUGGUUUAGAAGCCUGCAAUUUUUUAAAAUAAAUGUAUUAAUUAACUAUUAUAUUUUGUAUAAAAAAGAAAUUAAAAAUAUUAAACAGAAUACAAGUUAGUGCAUUUGUUACAGUGAUAAUUGAUAUACUUAAAAUAAAAAAUAAUAUUUAAAUGAGUAGCCUGGUCACAAGAACCACUCUUUUAGGUUAGGACACCAUUUGAAAUGGGAUAAAUCAUUUGAAUAACCAUAUAAUAUAUCUAGGUUUGUUAAUUUAUACACAAAUUUCAGGUUUUAGUCGAAGAAAUUCAAAUCAUCCAAGAGAUUUAAAUGAAGAAGGUAAAUAAUUAUAACUAAAUGACAUUUAUAUACAAUGUGUAUUAUAUUUUAUAUAUGAGUUUAUUAUAUUUAAAAUGUAAAUGACUAUUAAAUUUAAUAAUAUUAUUUUCAAUUUUAAAUUGAAAUUAUGUAUAAUAAUAAUAUUUUUAAUUUUUUUUAAGACAACAUUAAUGAUCAAGAUAAAAAUAAAGAAACAUCAACUAAGAAGCCAACAUCAUUUGGGUCACAAGGUAGUUUAUUUUAAAUUAAAGUUGAGAAUAAAUAAAUUAUCAAGCAUAUAAUUAUUAUAUAAUAUUUAGAUAAUUCAUCAGACAUUAAAGAUUUUGAUUUUAAAAAUAAAGCCAAAGAAACUAAAAUGAUUGAAGAAACUACUAUUUUCGAAAUUAAAGAUGACAAAUUUAAAGAAGAUACAUCUAUUCCAGUAGACACUAUUACUAUUAUUGACGAUGAUGAUGUUGAAGAGGAGGAUGUGAUGAUUAUUGAUAAUUUAGAAAAAAGAGAAUUACUACAGUCUGGCAACAAAACAAAUAAUUCCCAUGUCCAUGUGCCAUCUCCACCUAAAAUGUUGCACAAUAUGGAAGUCGAAAAAUCACCUGCUAGAAAAUUGUUAUCUAUUGAUACAUUACUAAGUCCACCUGGUCGGCUUAAUAGACCGGCCAAAAUAGUUAUAAUAAUGAGAGGAUUACCUGGUUCAGGAAAAUCCUACGUUGCGAAGUUAAUCAAAGUUAGUAUAAUAUUAUACAUUUGUAUAUUAUAUUAUAUCAGUGCUUGAAUGAAUAUUGGUAAAAGUAACAAAUAUGUAUGUAUAAUAAGUGUAUGUUUCUGUAGACUUAUUUGAAUUAUUUAAACAAACUAGAUGAGAUAUGAAAUAGUUAAGAAAAAAAGGUAUUCAGUCUUCUCGCAUCUGUCAAUUCAAGUACUGAUUAAUAUUACAUUUUAUUGAGUUAUCUACAUUGUAAUAAAUUUCAUUAGGAGAAAGAAGUAGCAAUGGGUGGACAAGCUCCUAGAGUAUUAUCAUUAGAUGAUUAUUUUAUGACAGAAAUAACUAAGACUGAAAUUAAUCCUGAGACCAAUAAAACAGUGGAAAAAAAGGUAAUAUUGUUUAUAUUGUUAUUCUUGUUUAAACCCAUUAAUAUCUAAAAAAUAUUUAAUUUUCUUACAUUAUCUUACAGGCUAAUUAAAACAUGAAAUGUGGUUGUUAGGUCAAAUACACAUACAUGUUAAAAUUAAAUCAAAAUAAUGUAAUAUUUUUAAUUUUAAUAAUUUAUUUUUAUCUCAGUAAUAUUGUGAUAAAAUGGUUUUACAAUACAUAUUUUUAUAUCACUUGAAAGAUUGGGGUUUCCAUUGCAUUGCGACCCUAACUGUUUUGAUGUUUCCUUGUCAUUAUGUAAUUAUAGUGUCCUUUAUACUUUAACAAAGUCUGUUACUGGUGUAGGUUUUACCAAUAUUUUACUAAUUUUUUUUCUAUCUCGUUUGCCGAUUUCCCAUUGCUUUAUCUAUAGUAGUAGAUCCACAUAUUUUCCUCUAUGCUGUGUUCUCAAAAUGUAUCAAUCUUAAUUCUACUGUUUGGUUAUUGUUUAAGUGUCACGUCUAUGAAUGAAAGUUGUUUCUACUUUGUUUAUAGUUGUCCUAGAUUAGCGGGCAUAGGAUUAAGGAUCAUAAGGGCACCAGAUACACACACCAACAUAAUAUAGCAACCAAACAAACUCUCAUAUAUUUUAACAAUAAAUAAAUACAAUAACAAUUAUAAGUAUCUUAUUGAAACUAUCAAUGAGACCAGUGAUUUUCAACCUGGGGGUUAUGACCGACUAAGGGGUUGCGAAAAAUUAUGGUAUCAUGUAUACCAGCGUUUCCCAACCUUUUUCCCUCGCGGCACACUAAUCCCAACCCAUAUUUAGCCGCGGCACACUUGUCACUUAGUUAUUUAUGUAUACAAAUUUUUUUAUACUAGACUUUCAUCAUAUUAAUUAUUAAUACCAAAAUAGUUGUAUAUCAGUAUAAUAUUUCUAGCAAACAUUUUAAAAUGGUAGGAUAGAAAAAAAUAUUAUUACAAUUAUCCUAAAUAUUUAAUUUAUUGAAAUGGAAAAACAAGAUACAUUACAAUUUUUAUAAAAAACCUAAUCUUAGUGAGAAAUUUGGGACUGUUUUCUCUUCAUUAUUAGGUUCCUUCGUGGUCGAAUGGUUGAUAAGCACACCCUCAUGUCGUCUUCCAAGUUCUUCAGUUUUGAUGGCAUUCAUUGAAGAGAAUGCUCACUAUUCAUAGCAGAACACAUUGAUUAAAUAAUCUUGAUUUCAAAGGUUUACUUUUAAUGAAGUUUACCAUUUUGACAACAGUUUGCAAUACUUCAUUGAGCUCAGGCAUCAAAGAUUUAGCAACGAGAGCUUCUCUAUAUAUGAAGCAGUGAGUGAAAAUAAUAUCCAGGUUUUCUUUCUUAACUAAUGCCAAAAAACCUGUUAAAUGACCAAUCAUUGAAGGGCACCCAUCUGUACAAACACUCAAACAAAAUUUCCAUGAUAUAUUGGCAGUGGUAAAAUAAUUGUUAACCAAAUUAAAAAUAUCUUGUCCUUUUGUAGUUUCAGGAAGGUCUUUACAAAAUAAAAAUUGUUCUAUCAACUCAUUAUCGCAUAUAAAUUUUACGAAUGUCAUGACCUGAGGUUUUCCGGUUACAUCUGUAGACUCAUCUAAUUGAAGGGCAAACAAUUCAGCUGCUUUCAGUUUUUCAUUCACGNUCACCAAACAAAAUUUUAAAGAUUUCACAGCAUGCUGGUAAAAUGGUUGACUCGGCUGUUGUGUGAGAUUUCAUUUUUUUUGCUAUCAGUUCCACGACAGCAUAGCUAGCUUCCUGUGCCUUAUCUGAUACAGUUGAGUGUUUUAUAAACUUUAAAGCCUGUCUGUUUUGAUCUGAGGCUAACCUUUUGAAAAAAUCUAGAGGCUUUUCAGACGCAAAACCAUGUUUUGUAAGCAGGUGCCUUUUCAGCUUACUUGGUACAAUACUUUCAUUAGAUAAUUUUUCAAUACACAUGAGGCAUUGAGGUAUACUAGGUAUAGGCAUUUCUCCACCACUCGACGUGAAAUCAAAUGAUAAAAAGCUUUCGUGAUAUUGUCGAAUAUAAUUUUUUGAUCGUACGUUAGCAUUUUUACUCGCACUCACCUCAACAUUAGGAGGAUUGAAACUAGGACCAGGCAAUUCCUCAACAUCAACUCUAUGAGCACUAUUAGGAUCAGGCAAUUCUUCGCUUAAUUUACGUUUCCUAAUUAAAAAAUGAUCCAUCGUGCGCUACACGUAGUACGAAUGAUAAUCGUAAAGCGAAAAGAAAAAAUUUCCGUUAAAGUAUAACACGGUAAUAAUAAAUGUACUUCAUACGACGACAAACGACUAACUGACAUUUUAACAUUUUAAAUGAAUUAAUAAGAAAUAGUGAACAAUAAGAUAAGAUUCUCCCCGAUAAGAGAAUCGUUAAAACUAUUUUAACCAAUUACUGAAAUUUUACGGAAACUUUUAUUAAUAGUCAUGGCAUUUCGCGGCACACCGGUUGGGAAACCCUGAUGUAUACUGUACAUUAUAUUAUUCAAAUUCUGUUAAACAGUUUUUGAAGAGAUUAUCAAAGAUGUAAACAAAAAAAUUUGGGAUUCGUAAAAGUUUGAAAACUACUAGACUAGGCGUUAAUAUCUAAAUAUUCGAUUGUUUGGUUUUAAACCAGUCUAAAAGUAAAAACUUAUAGAUCUUGCUCAUCACUACUAUCAAGGUCAUGGGGUACUUGAGUCUGCAUCUGAUAUUCUGAUUCUUCAGCUUUCCUGUUCAGCAGUUUAUGCACCAGCCAACAUGGUACACUUGCAUGAAUUUGUGCACUGCUUCCCUCAUACUAUGCCAGAAGAAACACUACUUUAUUAUUGUACUUUACCUACUCUUGAUGGUUUCUUCAUGGUUGUGAAAUCUCCAUACUGAAGAGUUUACUUAUUUUCUCCAGUAUAUUCAGAUCAUUCUAUUGAUUGAAACCUUCAUAUAUCUGCCCGAAAAUGCAUUCUGUUGUCCUUGAAUGUCCUUGUAUAGAUAUGAUCCAAAACAAUUGUGGCCUUACAGUGCCAGAGUUAAAUGUUGGCUCCCCAGUUCAUAGCUUCAUCGAAAUAUUACUUAGUACUGUAUAAAUCUAAAUUUCUUACAGUGAACCACUUUAAUAUGUAAUCAUAUAAUGUCAUACAAUAUUAUAUAAAUUGUCUUGUCUAUAUAAUCAUUAAAUAAUAUUUUGUUUUACUUAGCAUUUUUAUUUAAAUAAAUGUAAUACUAUUAAAAAAUUUAAAGAUAAAAUAUUUGAUACCGAGGAAGAAGGACAUAGGUUAAUUUUAUACAGUUUUAAAUACAAGCAAAUUAAAUUUAAAGUAUAUACACUUAUGCUACUUAACCAAAAAAAAUUACAGAGGAAAAAUUGUCUGAAGUCCUUUUGCCCUAAAAAUGUAUUUAUUUUUUUUUUUCGUAACAUUAUUUUGUGUACUUUAUUGUUUAAGGUUAUGGAAUAUGAAUAUGAUUCUGCUAAUGAAAGUUUAUACCGUACAUCCUUUAUAAAAGCAUUUAAGAAAAAAGUGGUCGAAAAUUUUUUUUCAUUUUUUAUUAUUGAUGCUAUAAAUAAUAAAGUUACAUAUUAUAAAGAUAUACUUGAUAUUUCUAGAAUCAAUGGAUUUACUGUAAGUGUUAUUGAGUCUUUGUGCUAUAUUGUAUGUUUAAAUAUCUUGAUAUAUAUAUAUGCGUAUAUAAAAUAUAAUUAUUUUACAUUACUAUUAGAUUUGUUUUGGGGAAAAUGUAAUGUGUGAUUUAGUAAAGAUAAGUAGUAUCUUUAUAGUUUAUAGUAUUAAAAAAAGACUGACAUAUUUUGCAUGAUAGGUGGGCCACUAUUGUAAGUGAGAAUUUGAGCAAGUAGGAUAUAGAAAGGAAUUUAACGUUUAUCUGUACACAACUAUUAAUCAUUGCUAACCAAAAAUAAUUCUGAGCGGAGUUUAGUUUUACAUAUUUAUAAAGGUCGUAAUGUUUUUGACUUUUGUUGAAAUUUGAUAUUAAAAUUCUUAUAAAAAGAAUUCUACAUUACACUCAGUUUUUUAGAUUCUAAAUGGAGUGAGAAAUGUAUUGGUUUUACAAUGAUGUUUAUUUUAUUUUAUUUUUUAUGUGAACACUUUUUCUGAAAGGAAAUAUUUUCUGGGUGGUACUUUUAGAGAUCAUUUUUUAAAAUUCUCAUUAAUAUUUGAGAUAAUGAAGAAAACCUGGUUCUUUAGGUUAAAAAAGAUUGAAAGAUUACAAAUAAGGUUGUCAUUUUCAACCGCUAGGUUAUUUAUUUUUUGUUAUUAAGUUUUUAUUAUUUUAAGUCUUUUAUAAACAAUCAUUGUUGUCAUGGAAACGAAAAUGUAAUCAUUUUAUCAUAAUAUGAUAUAUACGAGUAUAUUGUAAACAACUAAACUCUGCUCAGAAUGGUUUUUUCGUAAGCAAUAGUUUAUUGUCUUUAUAAAAAUUUAAUUUUUUUUUUUUUUUUUUUGUUAUUAUGAACCUCUUAUUUAAUUUUCAAUCGUUUCUGUUUGAUUUUACAUUUUUAUCCACGGAGGUUAGAUUAGGACUACCUACCAGAGAAAAAUGACAUAAAAAACUCGCAAAAUUAAAAUGUUUAUAAAUAGCUCGAAAAUGGGUAAAAUGUUUUAAAAAAUUUACCACGUCUAGAUAAGGCAAAUUUAAUUUUUUUAACUGAAUAAUAACAAAAAGAAAAUUUAAAUUUAUAAAUUUUGUAAACAUUCCCGUUUUAUUUCGUUUUUUUGUAAUUAUGAAAAUCUCUUGAAAAAUCAUUAAAUGACUUCCCUAAAGUACCACCCAGAUAAAAUUUCUUUUCAGAAAAUGUACUACAAUUGCUCCAUUAUCAACACGCCGCAUGCUGUAUAAUACAGUGGAGUGGUGAAAUCACUACCCUCCUUUAACCAAUACUAAAAAGUGGAAUAUCUCCUCAAACGGAAAUCAAAACUUUCAACACAAAAAUUUAUUUUAACAUUAUCUUUUCAUCUAUUUAUGGAAUUUUUAAUAUAGAUUGCCAUUUUCAAAUCAAAAAUAGUUACCCCCCAAAAAUAAGGGUAGAACAGCUUAUUUUCUUAAAUGUUCUAUAAAACAAAUUCCUGAAAUAAUUAAUACUUUCCGAGAUAAUGAGUUUAUUCACUUAAAUGGAUCACUUAGCAUGUAUGUAUAAUUAUUUAUAGGCUGUCUCACGAAGAUAUACCCCUUGAAUAUCUCCGGAGAUAACAAAUAUAAUCAAAUUCUGUUUUUUUUUUUUUAUAUAUUACUCACAGGGAUGAGAACUAAAAUAUUUUAUUAUUUUAGGAAAAUUUUAAGAUAGCCAUUCUGUAGCGUUUAUUUUUCUGAAAAUUUUAAUUUAUCACACAUUACCCUGUGCCACCCACUAAAAAAUGUAUUUUGCAAUAAAGUCCAUUCCCUAGUUAUCACGUAACACAGUUAAGUCAUUCCUUAAAUAAGUAACAUUAGUUUUCACACAGAUUAGGGAAUUUAAAAUGGCUGUUACUUAAAAACUAUUCAUCGGAUAUAAAUGUGUGAUACAUUAAAAUUUUCAGCAAAAUAAAUUCUGCAGAAUGGCAUUUAUAAAAUUUUACUAAAAUAUUAAAAAUAGUUAUAUAUUUUUUAAGUUUUUUACUAAAAAAAAAAUUGAAUACAAAUAAAAAAUAUUUGUAGUCCUCAUCCCUGUGAGUAAUAUAAAAAAAAAAAUUUGAUUAUCUUUAUCAUCUCUGAAGAUAUUAAAAGGGUAUAUUUUGGUGGGACAGCCAAUAUAUAUUUAUUUUUUUUUCAUAAAUCAAGAUAUUUAAAUACAAUAAUAAUAAUAAUGAUUUUGCAUAUUUUAUGUUAAUUAUAUACAUUUUUAGGUGUAUAUUAUUGAAUUAGAAGCUGAUGUUGAUCUAUGUAUCAAACGCAAUAUUCAUAAUAGAACAGCUAAUGAUAUUAAAUAUUUAAUGAAAUCUUGGGUUAAAACUCCUGAUAAUCAAAUACUGUUGGAUAUACGAUCAUUACUUAAUUUAGCUUCAAAGAGUGAAGUAUUAAAAAAAUUAUUUAAUAUUUAAACAUGUUAAAUUAAAUAUGUAUUAUUAAAUUAGAUGGAAAUGGAGGAUGUAUCAGACGUCGAAAUGGAUUUGGACAGAGACGAAAAUGACAAUGCUGAUGAUGAAAACAAACAGAAAGAAAACACAAGUAUUGAUUUUGAAGAAGAGGUAAUGGUUUUUUUUUUUAAGUUAUUUUAAGUUAGAUAACAUAUAUAUACAUUCUUCUUCUCCUUCUUUCUACAAAAUAAUGGAAAAAUAAAAUAUUCAAUGAUUGAAUAGGUUUAGAUUUUAUAAGGUUCAUAUAACUAGUUAAUUAACCAUAUUGCAGUUACCUAUUAUAUUUGUGUGAAAUGAUCUCGUGAUAAACGAAACAAAAUUAUUACUCGGAAUGUGUGAAUAAUUAUAUUUAAACAAUUGUGUAAAUAUCCAGUGGCUGAGUAGUUUUGUCAAAAUAAUGCUGUUGUUUCUAAAUUAGUGUUAUUUUUUUUUAUUUGUAUAACAUAAUCUUUAAUAAUUUUUGUUGAAAACAUAGCAUCUUAUAAAAAACGUAAAACCAGAAGAUACCAUUUCUAUUAUUCUAUUUUUUGGUUGCUAAUAUUUCUACAGGACAUCAUGAAAUUAUUGUCUUGCAAAUGGAUUGAUACUAUCCCACAAGAAGAAAAGAUGAGUAAGUUAUGUUGAUCAUUUUUUUUAUUAUUGACACAAAAAUUAACUAUUUUUAUUUAAUUUUCUACAGAUAUUAACAAUGUUAGAAAUUUUAGUUUCUCUUAAUUAUUUGAAAUUAAAUAUUAACAUUUGAAUGUUAUAUUUAUUUCAGAGAGAUUAGAUGGCCUGUGCAAGAAAAAACCAGAAAGGUCAAUUAAAGAAUGGUUACAAAUACCUGAAGAUAAUUAUACCGAUUGUGAACAAGAAGUAGUUGUCAAAGAUGGAAAAAAGAGGGUAAAUAUUAUCAUUUAUUUAUUUAAACUAAAAAUAAAAACCAAUUAUUUAAUUGUAGAUUAAGUGAUGACACUGCAAUAUUUUAACUUCUAUUAAAAAUCAAAACAAAUUAUACACAUCUUAUAUCAUUAUUAUUAGUCUACUUCACACUAUAUAUUAUAUAUAUUAUCUGUUGUAUGUGUAAGAAAUUAUUUCUGCGAUUAACGUUAAUGUUUUGAUAGCCCUUAAACUUAUUUUAAAAUCAUUUUCACCAUCUAUAGCUCUACAUUAUUUGUUUUUUCUGAUCAGUUCAUCUACGUGUACAAAACUAUAUUAAUUUCAUUUGUCCUCUAAAGAAUUAUUUUUAUAUAAUUUUGUAUUGAUAUAAAUAUGAAUUUCUAUAUGUAAAUGUUUCAUAUUUUUUAUCAGCAAAAAGAAAAUUAUACAUUAUUAAAAAACUUUUUUAUUUUGUGUAGGUUCGUUGGGCUGAUAUGGAAGAGCGACGUGAACAAGAAAAAAUGCGUGCUAUUGGUUUUGUUGUUGGGCAGACAGAUUGGAAUCGUAUGUUAGGUCGAGAUCAAGGUGAAAGCAAGCUGACCCAAACCAAAUAUAUUUGAUUAUCAAAAUAUAUUUUAACAUGUUUCAUUUUUAAAACAAUUAUUUUGUUUAUAUAUAUAUAUAUAUAUAUAUAUAUAUAUUUUUUUUGUUUUUUUAGUAAACAUUUUAAACAAUUAUUGUUUUUACUUACUGCUCUUGUUAAAAUAUUUUAUUAGAAAAUCCAAUUAAUAUGUAUAAAUAAAAAAAAAAUGUUAAUAUUUAAUAUACUAAUUUUUAAUUUAACAAUACUGUAAAAAAAAAAUAAUAAUAAAUGAAGGAACUGAACAAUGGAUUAAAUUUAAACACCUUAGAACAAUUUUGAGUAAGUAUUCAUAAUGCGCUAUAUUAUUAUUAUACCUGUUAUAACAAUUUGUAAUUUUUUUUUAAAUUUAUAUUAGGUAUAUUAAUUAAAAUUAUUUUCAUAUUUUGUAACCAUAACAUUAUUACCACCAAGAGUAGUAGUACUUUUCACUCUUGGUGAUUUAUUGUUUUCGUUAAAAUCUCUGCGCAACAUUGUUGGCCCUGUUGUUGUGCGCGUCAUCACCAUCGGUCCUUGUUGUUUGUUAUCAUCCAGUGAUCUCUAAAAUAAACCCACCAAGCACCCCCCAAAAAAAGAAAAUUACUAACUAUCCACAUUUAAAAGAUACAUAUAUUUUACAAUGUUUGUCCUGGGCAAUAUUAUGUUAACUGAUUAAUAUUUUUUUGUAAAUCUAUAGUAUUUACAGUAAUUAAUAUUAUUGUAUCAAAAAAGGAAUACAAUUUGUCUUUAAGAUACAAAGACUUUCAAAAUAAUUUAAUUAUCAGGACAAACACAGCAAAGCCUUGUAUGUAAAUUAAUGGAUUUGAGUAAUAAAUACACUGUUAAUCUGUUAUGAAUAUUUUAUAACUAGUUAAUAAUUGUAUUAAUAUUAUAAUAUAUUGGUUAGUAUUGUUUACCUGUAACACAUUCAAAAAAAAUAGAAACGCCAGUAAAGCCAAUGCUGAAGAUGUUGACGUCGACAACCGUCGUGUGCUUUGAUUUUGUUUUCUAUGUUACACAAAUGACAAUAAUAUUAUAUUAUCAGUGAAAAACAAAACAAAUAAAUCAUAAUAUAAUUUUGUUAUAUAUUAUGUUUGCUUACCUUAUUGUACCAUAAGCGCGCCCAACGUCCAAUAACGGCCGAAAACCCUCGUUAAUAUUGCCGAUGUCGUUUGAAACAUUGUUAUUAUUUACGUUAGAUGACAUUAAAAUAUAAUAAUACUAACGGCCCGUACUUAAGAAUAUAAGUUGAUUAUUUAAAUAUUUGCCAAAUUUAUAAACGGUGGGUUUUUGUUUAUAGAAAAGAAUAAUCAAACGGUAUUUGGGAUCUGACACUUUGAAAAACCAUCGCUGGAUGAACAAGAUUGUACUGACAGACAUGAAAUUUAGUCAUGCUACUUCUUCUUCUUAAGGCAAAGCUGUGAUUUAUAUAAUUAACGCCAACCACACUGACACAGCCAUCAUCGCCACGGUGUUGUGGUUUUUCAGGUUAAAUGCAGACCAUGACUGUUAUUUUUUUUUUUUUAUCACUACCUAUUGUAUUGUCAAGUGUGUUCCAUAAUUGUUUCCAGUACUAUAAACCGUUAGUUUAAUUAAUUUUGUUUGUUUUUUUUUUAAUGUGUGUUUUAGAUUUUUUAAAUAAUUAUAACUACUGUCUAUAAUAUAAAAUUAUUAUAAUUUCGUAAAGUAUUUAAUUUUGUUGCUAUAAUAAUAAUAUUUAUUAAACGUCAUAAUAUUAUAUAGGUACUUAUGUAAAUUAUGGUAGUUAUUAUUAUAUAUUUUUUAAUGU